GUGGCCCCUGGAGGGUGGCGAUGGGAACAGGGCUCAUCUUUAGUCUGGUGGCCUCUCGCUGGGUGUCGAGGGGGUGUAACUGGCUUCAGGAAAAGAGCUAGGGAGUCGAAAUGCCAGACAGGACAGAGAACGGAGAGGUAGCCCAACGGACUUAAGGGCUUGCGGCGAGGAACUGCCUGCCGGCAAUCCGCUAACUAGUGAGGAUUGAUUGACUCUUUCUGUCAUCAGCAUCCUUGGAACCCCUACCCCUCCUCAGGUCUCCCGACUUUUCGCUCGCCAGUGGCCGGGGGCCGCGGGCGCAGGGCUGGGCGUGCGUGUGUAGCUGCGCGCGCGCGGGGGUGCGCGCCUGUGUGUGUGCGCAGCCCGAGCUCUGAGCCGGGCCGCCAAGCCCCAGCCGGCUACCCUGCGUCCCGCCUUGCAGCCGCCUCCUCAAAGCCUCCUCACCUGGCGCCGCCGCCCGCCGCCCGCCGCCCGCCGCCCGCCCAGCCCCGCACCGGCGCUGCCUCCCCUCAAAGUUUCCCCAGCGUAGACACCUUCGCGCUGCAGCAGCCCAGGGAGACGGCGUUCCGAAGCUGUGCCUUGGAGUGGCUCUUCUUACCUUUCCGCCUCAUCCCCACCUAAUUCGGGCAGAGAGUAGAAAAUUUUCCAAAUUAAGGGGAGAAAGGGGGGAGGGGCAUUAUCGAGAGAAAGCAAGAGGAGCGGCCGCAACUGAGAAUAUCCUGCCUGAUGCCAGGGAAUUGACUGACGUGUCUGUGGGGUUACGGAAGAAAACUGAAUAGGCAGCCAAGUUGGCCGAGGAGGGACUGGGAGGCUUCCGGGUGCCGGGAAGGUGGUCCCGGUCUCCAUUUCCACUGGUACGAAGGCUUCGAGGCGCCUUUAUGGUGAGGGCUUUUGAACCGCCAUCCCCUCCUGAUCCCUUAGAAAGGAGGAGCCUUCAGCGCUGAGGAGGGGGAAGUCCAGGAAAAGCCCCUGGACUUGUGUGCGUCGCAUCCUUGGCUUGGGAUUUUAAGGACACGAAGGAGAAUUAACAGCGCCUCAAGGUAAGAGGCAGCAAAGCUGCUGCUUAAAUUGCCAGAGACAAUAACUUAAAAUAGAUGUUGGGGAUGGGGUGGGGGUUAAGUCAAGUUAGGAGGAUCUCUCCGGGCGUCGCCACGCGAUCGCACGACCCGCGCUGGCAAGUCAGGGAGUAGCCGGUGCUGCGCUGCCCAGUUGCGAGGCAGGAAGCCAGAGGAGUGUCCUGUCCUUACACUUUCUGAAACCUAUUGGAAAUCGAUUUCGGACUGGGUUCUCUGUCGAGGUUGAUAUGCAGCGUGGAUUUGGGUUUUGGGUUUUCGUUUUUUUACCAGAGAGGUUUUUUAAAAAAAUUUUUAUUAGCACAGCAGACCCACCCCCAAUUGCCAUAGAGAGCUGUGGGCACCGGUGAACGCAGCUAGGACGCGGUGGCAGGUAAGCCUGGCGCAGGUGGGCAGGUGGGGGCGGCGGCGGCACCCGGCCGGCGGACUCGGGGGCGCGCGAAGCCCACGCUGCCGCUUGGCCGGCUCCCUGCCACCGGCGUCGGAACCUGGGCGCCGCAGGUCGCCUGCUGUUCCCUUCGCCUCCGCUAGAGGCUCCCAGCGGGCGCCGCGGAGCGGGUGGGUGUGGGGGCGCCAGGAGGCGGCGGGGUGAGCGCGGAGAGCCAGCGUGCUUGCGGGGUGGCGGAGCCCGCGCGGCAGGGGCGGGGGACGUGAGCGGCAGUCCCGGUGCGCUUCCGAGCUCCGCACCGCGCCGCGGGGACGCAGGUCCGAACCCGGCUGAGCUCUGGAAAGCUGUGCCUUGAACUGGAGCCACUUCGGGGGUGAGAUCCUGGCCCGCACCCUGAGGGCAGCCCCGGGAGGAAAUCCACUGGAGAUGGUUUCAAGAUAUAGGAUCCUUAUAUGUGAGGUAUCCCAAAUGAAGUUGGAGCAUCCAUGUUGAAAUUGCUUCAUGUUGUGGAAUUGAUGAGUGCCAUCAGAAAGCUGUAUCAUGAGCUGCCUGCACUUCUAAAGUGUCCAGUGGAUUUUUAAUCACAUGAGCCUGGAAAUAGGGUUAUGAGAAGAAGCUCAGAGCAGAGCACCGAAAGUGGCCACUACCAGCAUGAAGAGCCCAACAAUUCAAACUGGUGAAGUGAGAAAAACAGAAUGCAGCUUUCAAGGUUCGUUUCAAGCAGUUGGCUUGUGGGACUCUGAGAGAUGCUGCUGCCCAUGACAUGCGGGAAUUAU